GACGAACGCUGGCGGCGUGCUUAACACAUGCAAGUCGAACGGAAAGGCCCUGCUUUUGUUUGUUUCUCGUGUGGCGAACGGGUGAGUAACACGUGAGUAACCUGCCCUUGACUUUGUGAUAACUUCAGGAAACUGGGGCUAAUACCGCAUAUGAGCUCCUGCUCCAUGGUGGUGGUUGGAGAGUUUCGGCGGUUGGGGCUGUACUGGCGGCUUAUCCGCUUGUUGGUGGGGUAGUUGCUUACCAAGGCUUUGACGGGUAGCCGGCCUGAGAGGGUGACCGGCCACAAGGGGACUGAGAGAGGGCCCAGAAGCCUACGGGAGGCAGCAGGGGAGAAUAUUGCACAAUGGGGGGAAGCCUGAGGCAGAGACGCCGCGUGCGGGAUAACGGCCUUCGGGUUGUAAACCGAUUUCGAAGGUGACGAAGAGAGAGUGACGGUAAUGGGUAAAGAAGCACCGGCUAACUACGUG
rnacentral:rRNA from 1 species